rnacentral:rRNA from 1 species
CCCUUAGAUGUUCUGGGCUGCACGCGCGCUACACUGAUGCGCUCAACGAGUUUUAACCUUGCCUGGAAAGGUUGGGUAAUCUUUUUAAAACGCAUCGUGAUGGGGAUAGAUUAUUGCAAUUAUUAAUCUUCAACGAGGAAUUCCUAGUAAGCGCGAGUCAUCAGCUCGUGCUGAUUACGUCCCUGCCCUUUGUACACACCGCCCGUCGCGCCUACCGAUUGAGUGAUCCGGUGAAUAAUUCGGACUGCGGCAUUGACCGGUUCCCGAUCGUUGCUGCGGAAAGUUUAGUGAACCUUAUCACUUAGAGGAAGGAGAAGUCGUAACA